GAAAAAGGAUUAAAAAAGAAAUAAGGAAAUGGAGGGCUUCGGUUCCUUUCCCUCUAAUAUACAUUGCAGUGUUUUUUUGGAAGCAAAUCAAAGGAUAUGUGGUGGAAAGCUUACCGAACGAAGUAUCUCCGGCGGCUCUUCAAAAUUGGCGUUGGUGGAUAAAGUUCAGAACCCUUUUCCUUCUUGUUCAGGUAAGUGUAUCUCCUUUCUCUGAACUUGAUGCUUGUUUCCUCUUCUUCCCCUUCUUUGAGUUUGUUGUUUGAAUGCAUGCUAGAGUAGAGUAUGAAUUUGAGUUAGUGAGUUGAAUUGAAUGUUGAAUGAAUGAUGUUAGUUAGAGUUGUUAGUAUGAAUUUUUUAUUUGAAUUGCAGUUAGUGAAUAAAAUAGUUAGUGAGGUUAGGAAAAAAUGAGUUAAUGAUAGACUGUUAACUGAUGUGAAAAAUAGUUAAGAGUUCAAAUGUAGUUGAUAUUAGAGUUAGUUAAUUGAAUGAAUGAAUUAGUUAGUAAUACUAACAGUUAUUGAAUUGAAUUUUAAAGUCAGUUUAGGAAAAUAUUGAAAUGUUAGAUUUUAUAGGUUAGUUGUAGUUAGCUAACGGAUUUUGGAAUAUUGAAGUUAGUGUAAUGUUAUCAAUGCUGAAUGCUUUUGCUAAACUGAUGAUAUCCACUGAAAUUGAAAUCAAAGUGAACCAUUAACUAGUUUGGAGGCUAAUUGUGUCACUUAUGUAUGGACCUGAAAUUAGGAUGGUGGUUACCAAGACGUGGCUAGUUGGGUUUGAAGUGAAAGAAACACGCUUGGUGGAAAGAUUAGAGUGCUAUACUUGUGAAUUAAAUGUUAGUUACAUGAUUG
rnacentral:lncRNA from 1 species